GGGACGGUGUGCGUGAUUGCGCGGAGGAGACCACGUCUGUUACAGAAAAUCUCGUCUACUUGACGAGACUUCUUCGGCGAUGAAGGCUGUGUUUUGCUCGGGAUCAAGUGCCAUUGCUGCUAUUCGGACGCAGUGGGCGGCUCUGGAUAGCGGAGGGGAGUUGGAGUGGAGGACGAAGAGCCUGCGUUUUUUGGAAACGGAAAUAUAGUUGCAGAAAUAACCUGGCACUGGCAUGCCAUAAGAAUUGAGGACAUUCCACGCUAUUAUGGGGGUGGAGAUGUGUUGCUGGUCUUACCAACUAAAAGAUCACCCGGCAUCUAUUGUUUAAGUGCUAAAGCAUCAAUUUUUAGUUUCACAGAGGAGCCGAUUUCUAAGAUGUGAAAAAAAUCUGCUGGCCAAAAGUGUCUGAAGAAAACCGUUUACCGAGAUAACGAAGAAGUAUGGCCUCGAUACAUUCUAAUGUCAAUGAUAUGCGGAAUGGUAGUCAUGAAGGCGGCGCGUAUCUUUACGCACAGGCCAAGAAGGGUGCAAAUCUUGUGUUACAAACACGGAGACUCGGGUUAACAUCUCUCUUGGUGUUGAUACUACUCCCAUUUUUGACUCCUGUGGUUGUAGUUUCCAUGUUGGUUGGUGCAGUCUUUUUGGUUCCCGUACUCAGUGGGGUCGCUGCUUAUUACGCCGUCUUCCACCCUUACUCUUUGUCGAGUAUCAUAAAAUGGUAUCGUUCCUUCAAGUCUAUUCACAAUCAAGAGAAGGUACUUUCUACCUCAGCGCAAAACGACAUUGGGUCGGAAACAGUUGAUGAACAUAAUGCUUUUGAGGUAGUACACAGAAAAGAUGAGGAAGAGCCAGUUGAAAAUAUUGAAAAUUUUUGGCGCUCUGAAGAUAAUUCAUAUUCAGAAGCAGAGGAACAGAAGGAACCUGAAGGUGAAGUAGCAGAAUACAACGUCUUCCAUUUUGAUGACCGUGGAAGAAGACAACUAGAUUUUUCAGAGGGGAUAGAUGGAGCCAAGGAAGCCACGGAAGUACCUAUACAAGCCCAAAGUGAGGUUAAACACCCCGAUAAACGAGAAGAUCGAUUUGAGGAGUCCAAGGGACCAGAAGGAAAGCUCGCCAGAGCUCAAUUUGUUUCUGAAAUAUCGACGGCUCCUGAAGAACCGGAGCAUGUAUCUGACAAUGUGACAGUUGAGGAGAAACUCGAUAAAGGUCAUCCUGGUGGCCGGUGUACGGCACCAAGCAAAGAAGGGGAGCGCGUCGAUGGAAACGAAGCACUUAUCAAGCAAGCAGAUGACGCUCUACCCAGAUCUUUGCAAUCUUCGCGAUCUGAAGCAACCCAUGCACAGUCAGGAAAUGGAUUGUUGUUGAAACACGUAAUUCAGCAGUCUGACGAUACUGUCGCUAUAGAAGAUGGGGCUGUUACUGUGGAGGGGAUUGCAGAUGUUCAAGGUAACGAGGCCCCAAUAUUGAAAGAUGCUGGUGCAGAGGAGGUGGAGGAUCCACUAGCGCUCCAAAUGGUGGAAGACGAGGCUGAGGCACCUGUAAAUAAUUCCCUGGCCACUGAGACUGUUGCUCCAGAGGGUAAGGCAACCGCCAGUGAGGCCGAGAAAUUCCAGCAGGCGCAAGAUAAGGCCUCGUCCGAGACUUUUUCCAACGGCGCUCCAGGAGAGCAGGAGGCUGAAGCUAAAUCAGAUCUCAUCUCGGAGGAGAAGUUGAGGAAUAAGCGUCAGGGAAGCAAAGCAAGAAAGAGGAGAAAGGACAAGACAAAGAAAUGAACUUGGAAGCAACAUCGCUACCAAAGCAUAAGAUACGAGCAGGAGGUGCAAUCCCAUCUUUAAGUCGUGGUUUGUGGUAAAAUGAGAGGACACACUCAUCACCACCAUGCAGCAAAGUGAAUGCUAUUUUGAUCAUCUAGCAUUGUCUACAACAUUACAUGUUUAUAUUUUUAUUUAUUAAUGUUGUGAAUAAAAAUAGAAACCAAAAAAAUUGCCUCAAAA